rnacentral:rRNA from 1 species
GACGAACGCUGGCGGCGUGCUUAACACAUGCAAGUCGAACGGAAAGGCCCUGCUUUUGUGGGGUGCUCGAGUGGCGAACGGGUGAGUAACACGUGAGUAACCUGCCCUUGACUUUGGGAUAACUUCAGGAAACUGGGGCUAAUACCGGAUAGGAGCUCCUGCUGCAUGGUGGGGGUUGGAAAGUUUCGGCGGUUGGGGAUGGACUCGCGGCUUAUGAGCUUGUUGGUGGGGUAGUGGCUUACCAAGGCUUUGACGGGUAGCCGGCCUGAGAGGGUGACCGGCCACAUUGGGACUGAGAUACGGCCCAGACUCCUACGGGAGGCAGCAGUGGGGAAUAUUGCACAAUGGGCGGAAGCCUGAUGCAGCAACGCCGCGUGCGGGAUGACGGCCUUCGGGUUGUAAACCGCUUUCGCCUGUGACGAAGCGUGAGUGACGGUAAUGGGUAAAGAAGCACCAGCUAACUACGUG